rnacentral:rRNA from 1 species
UACAGAGGUCUCAAGCGUUGUUCGGAAUCACUGGGCGUAAAGGGUGCGUAGGCGGCGGGGAAAGUCAGAUGUGAAAUCCGGAGGCCCAACCUCCGAAUUGCAUCCGAUACUCCCUCGCUAGAGAUUUGUAGAGGAGCUUGGAAUUCUCGGUGUAGCAGUGAAAUGCGUAGAUAUCUGGAGGAACACCGGUGGCGAAGGCGGCAUCCUGGACCGACACUGACGCUGAGGAGCGAAAGCCAGGGGAGCAAACGGG